ensembl:snRNA U6 U6 spliceosomal RNA
CUGCUCACUUCAGCAGCACCUAUACUAAAACUGGAACAACGCAGAGAUUAGCAUGGCCUCUGCACAAGGAUGACACAAAAAUUCAUGAAGUGUUCUGUAUUUUU